rnacentral:tRNA from 1 species
UAUUGNGUAGCUCAGUUGGUAGUAGCACCUGACUGUUAAUCAGGUUGUCGCAGGUUCGAGUCCUGCCUUCGGAGCCA